UAGGGAAUCUUCGGCAAUGGACGAAAGUCUGACCGAGCAACGCUGCGUGAGUGAAGAAGGUUUUCGGAUCGUAAAACUCUGUUGUUAGAGAAGAACAAGGACGUUAGUAACUGAACGUCCCCUGACGGUAUCUAACUAGAAAGCUACGGCUAACUACGUGCCAUUAGCCGCUGUAAUACGUAGGUGGCAAGCGUUGUCCGGCUUUAUUGGGCGUAAAGCAGGCGCAGGCGGUUUCUUAAGUCUGAUGUGAAAGCCCCCGGCUCAACCGGGGAGGGCCAUUAGAAACUGCGAUACAUGAGUGCAGAAGAGGGGAGUAUAAUUCCGUGUGUAGCGGUGAACUGCGUAGAUAUAUGGAGGAACACCAGUGGCUAAGGCGGCUCUCUGGUCUGUAACUGCCGCUGAGGCUCGAAGGCGUGGGGAGCAAACAGG
rnacentral:rRNA from 1 species